rnacentral:rRNA from 1 species
UACAGGGGGUGCAAACGUUGCUCGGAAUCAUUGGGCGUAAAGCGCACGUAGGCGGUUCGUUAUGUCGGAUGUGAAAGCCCUUGGCUUAACCGAGGAAGUGCAUCCGAAACUGGCGAGCUAGAGUACUAAAGAGGAUCGCGGAAUUCCCGGUGUAGCGGUGGAAUGCGUAGAGAUCGGGAAGAACAUCAGUGGCGAAGGCGGCCUGCUGGGCUGUUGCUGACGCUGAGGCGCGACAGCGUGGGGGAGCAAACAGG